GCACAAUGAAGAUCUUGAAGGGCACACAGAGAGAGGGAAGGCAACAGAGGCAGGCUUUGUUGGACACCAAAUGAAUGUACUGAGCCAUUGUUCCAAGACAGCUCUGUAUUUUAAAGCUCAGCAUGGGCCAAAUUCAACCUCUGGAUGAAAUAUGUGAUUCUUGUGGCAUUGUCAGAAGUGGCAAAUGGAUUCUCUCCUCCUAAAUGUGGUGUGACUCUCCCAUCAACCACAGGUAGCAAGUAACGGCACACUUGCCACGACCUCUACUGUCUGCUUUCUGUAUCACUGCCUCAAUCAUGCCCCUCCUCUUGCCUUGUCUUGGUGAAGAGUGCCUGGCCAGCAGCCCUGCCUACCUCUCUCUUCUGGCCCUAGCGCCUUGCUCCAGCCCAUGUGGUUCCAGCAAGCUCCACUUCAAGGGGCCCACCCUCCAGGGCAUGUUCCAAGCAUCACCAACCAGAGGGCUUCUUCUCUGAGAAUUUAUACAUGGACCUUGAGGUCAGCAAGCAAGGAUGAUAUAAGCCAGAGUUCUCUGCAGCCAUCCCCUUUUCACCUCUCUCAGUUACGGAUGAACUUAUCUGUAAAAUGGGAAAAAGAAACGACAAGAGAAGCACAGCUGAGAGAAACACCAAAAGAAAGAGUUGAAGACAUUGUUUGAAUUCCUGCAUCCAGUAGUGCCCAAAGCCAGUGCCAACCCUGGAAUUCCUAGCUACAAGAGCCAAUGAAGUCCCUUUUGCUUUAGUUUGAGGUGGGCUCCUGUCACUUGCCACAGAAACUAGGAGAAAGCACAGUGUCUGUGCUGCAGUGAGAGAGGGCUAAAGUCCUCAGGGACAACCAAUAAAGCACGAGAGCCAAUGAAUAAAUACUUGAGGUGAGCAAUUACAGGAGGCAUUCUUUACAUUUCUUAGAGAGCCAAGCAAAAUUUAGCCCCAGUUGCCUGAAGUGGCCAUAUAUAUUAUUAUUAAUAAUGAAUAUAGUCAAUAACCUGUAGGCAGCUCAGAAAAAAUCUCAGUCAUUAAGUGUUAAAGUACAUUUGAGACCAUUUGCCUCAGCAUCUAGUGCAGCUCCGGAUACACACAACGUGGAGGGCAGGGAACUAACAUUUGGUGAGCACCUACUAUGGGUUAGGACCUGUGCUGGACAUUUUCACAUACAUUAGUUCAUCUAUUCCUCCCGAAGAUCUUGGAUGGUGGGUAUUAUUACCUUCAUUUUGGAGAUUAGGAAACUUGCCUAAGGUUCAUACAGAGCUUCUUCGGUGCUCUCAAUCAUGACUGUUCCCUUGCAUCCAUCCCCUCUGUAAGAACUGAGAUUAGCGUUUAGGGAGUUAUAGCUGGUGCAGUAGACACCUCAGAUGCCCUGUGUCACAUCUCUUGACACAUCUCUGAUUUCAGUGCACUUAUGAUGUGGCCUCUUUCCCAGAUCUCAAGCACGCAGCAGUCAUUAUUUCACUAUCUGCCCCGGGACGGUUUCCACAGAUGCAGGAGCUUGCUCAGCCUAGGAGAAAGCACAGUGUCUGUGCUGCAGCGAGGGAGGGCUAAAGUUCUCAUGGACAACCAAUGGAGCAUGAGAGCCAAUGAAUAAAUACUUGAGGUGAGCAAUUACGGGAGGCAUUCUUUACAUUUCUUAGAGAGCCAAGCAAAAUUUAGCCCCAGUUGCAUGAAACGGCCAAUUGCCAAAUUCAUCCUUAUAUUGACUUUUCCUCCUUCGUGUUGCAGGCUGACUGAUCUCUCAUUCCCACUUCCUGGAAUCACCUCCCAAACAAACUAACUGCAUACUAGUCCUUGUCUCAGGCUCUGAUAGUGUGGGAUUCCAAACUGGAAAUGAAGACCAUCUUGUGUACUGACUAGUGAAGGAAAACGUUAUUGUUGUGAAGUCUGUAAUAAAAUAAGCUCAGCUUAAACCAGCAAGAGCAAUUCCAAGCUAGGAACUAUAUUAAGAAAUAGUCUCUUACAUAGAACCCCCUUUGAGAAAAUAUACUCAAAGUCUAUAACUUAAACAUGCCUGGAAGGAAAUACAUCAAAAUAUUAUUUAUUAUAAUUCAAUAUAUCAUAUUAUUAUAUUAAUUAUUCUUCUCUUCUGAGUAAAUUUUCAAUGGACAUUCCCCAGAUGUUCCUCACUUCUCUUAUCUAUCAGUCUUGAUCUGCCCCCUGGGGAAUCACAAUUCUUGUCACUGCAGUUAAUAACCUUUUUUUUUUUUUUCUGUGACUCAAAUUAGGUAGAAGAUACUUAGCCAUCAUUCUCCACUUGGAAGGCAGCACAGCAUGUUAGUUCAGAGUAUGGUGUGGGCAACAAAAGAAGGUCAAAUUCUAGUCAUCUGGGUCACUUGGUCUGUCACCCAGGUUUUGCUGUGGAAACAAACAACUGCUUGUGAUCAUUAAUUUUUAAAUAUGGACUAGGCUAAGGGAUACCGAGAUAGCUGGUAAAACAUUAUUUCUGGAUGUGUCUGUGAAGAUGUUUCUGGAAGAAAUUAGCAGACUGAGUAUAGAAGAUCCACCCUUACCAAUGUGGGAGGGCAUCAUCCAAUCCAUUGAGGGCCCAGAGAGGACAAAAAGGCAGAAGAAAAGCGAAUUUGCUCUCUCUUCUGGUGCUGAAACAUCCACCUUCUGGCUGGCCUUUGAACUUCAGGACUUAUCCUACCCUAGCACACCCACCCUCCCAAUUCCCCCAUCCCAUUUCUCAGGCCUUCAGGCUUGGGCUGAAUUAUACCACUGGCUCCUCUAGUUCUCCAGCUCAAAAACAGCAGACUGGGGGACUACUCAGCUUCCAUAAUCAUGUAAGCCAAUUCCCAUAAUGAAUACCACUCCCCCACUCUGUUUCUCUUGAGAACCAUGAUUAAUGAUUAAUAUAACUCCAAAACUUAGUGGCUUAAAACUGCAAAGAUUAAUGCAUGGCUUAUGCAGCAUGCACAUCUUGAUGGGGGUGGGAAAGGGGGCUCUGCCCAUAGCUCCCACUAUAGGACCUAGCCUGCAGAGCGCCACUAUCUGGAAUGUUAGUGGCCACUGUGGCAGAGUGAAAAGGAGGCAAAGCUCAUGCAAAGCCUUCCAUCUGAAAGUGAUAAACGCUGCUUGUUCAUGUUUCAUUGGCCAAAGAGAGUCAUGUGGUCAUGCACAAGUUUCACUGAAAGGGAAAGGGCAAUCUGCCUUGCAGAUAAGAAAGGAGAAAAAAAGGGGGAGAUUUUGAAAAUGAUUGUCCGAUUUGGACAAUCAUUUAACCUAAGCUUCAGUGUUCUCAUCAUGUACUGAGGGGAUAUCCACUUUACAAGGUUAUUAUGAGGGUUAAAUGUGAAACUGUAAAGUACCUGGCACACAGCCAUUACUCAAUAAAUGCUGCUAUUUUGACAGUGAUCCUUUGUUUACCUGAAAUAUAAUAUUAAGAUUUACUCCAAUCUUUCCUACAUCUCUGGGAGUAAAAAACUCUUGAAUCUUUUUCUGGAGGUUGCAUUUUCUAGUCUUUAAAAAUGAGUCCAGUGCCUUUUCCCUGAAUUUCUCCAAAUUCUGACCAUUCUAAGAUAUGGGUUCUAGCUCAGUGCUCCUCACACAGAAAGGUUCUAGUAAGGAAUGAGAAAAUACUUUCUGCUUUAAAGAAGAGCUACGCAAAUAUUAAAUGAGAAUAAUUAUAUCUAUUAUUUAUGGCGAAUAUUAUUCUAGUACUCAGAAAAACUCAGCAUAAGUUCAUUAGAACAGUAUGGGCCACAUUAGAAAGAACAUAUUAUCAUUAUGUUUGAAAAGCUAGGACUGGGUACAAAGUUACUACGAUCGUAUGGGCUUAGUUGGCCAAGUAUGUUAUUACAGUUUCAAUGGAACCAUCAUCUUGUCAACAGAACACACAGUGAAACCUGCAGGGCCUUCCUCUGGCUUCAUGACAGUGAGUAGACUCUCGCUUUCCCUAGGGAAGGCAGGGGCCUGGUAGGGUCUGAGCAAGAGCCUGAGGCAUAGACUGUGCCCACCCUCCCCUUCUCCCUCCACUCAUGCCAGUUUUUGGUUUAGAAAGCCAGCAUUUUGAAUAUCAAGUCUCAAGACUUUCUCAUUGUCCUCAGGGUGGGUUGCUGCCCCCCACACCCUCCUUGUUCCCAUAUGAAGGUCAUUGACCCCUAGUUUUGUAAGGUGUUUAUUCUUGCAGAAUUUGGACCAGGGACUUUCUGUUCAGCAAAUGAUUCAGUGCAUGUAGACCCUGAGGUUGUUUACAUUUUCAGGAACUGCUAUUGCGAAACUAAAAAGGUUUAUUUUACGUAGUGGGGUUGCUUUUGCCAGAUGAAUUCAUUUGCUCAAGUUAUUUUUAAAAUGUGCUUUCCCUUAGCUCCUUAGAGAAGCUCUGGUCUCUUGCCUGUGUGGGUCUAGGCCAGAAAAAAAAAAAAUGUUGAGGCUAUUAAUGGAAGCCAGAGAAAAUGUCUGGCCAAGGUGGAUCAAAGAAGGUUCUCAGUUUUGACCCCAAAUUUUAACUUUCUGAAUGCCGGGCUAGCAUACUAGCUGGUCCUGGCUCCAGCAGCUUAAAUGACUCAUGUGCCUAGAACCAGGAAGACCAUGCAUAUGAGUUUCAAACUGCUCCUACAGGUAUGUGUGGAAGGGGGACCCCUAUGACAGAAUAUUCAUCCAGAAGAAACUUGCCCUGCUGCCAAUUGGAAGUGCCACAGUCCAGCAGCAGUGAGACUGCUGGAAGCAGUCAGAUUGCAGAGCACAAACUCUCUAACUCAUCGGGGUCAAGUGGCCUGAAAUGAUUCAUCAGGCUGCUUUGCAAACAUUUUAUUUAACAAUUGAUAUUUAGAAAUAAUUUUUUAUGACAGUUUCUUAUCUUUUGGGGGAAUCAGAGACCCCUUUGAGAAUCUGAGGAAGGCUAUGGAGAAAUAUCUGAUGAAGCCUGUGGGAAAAAAAACUGCCAUCCAGAAAAAUGUAUAUAUGCAAGCUGUCCCUUAAAAUGUUAGUGGUAUCAUUGGGAUGACAUCCAAAAAUUGUCAGGGAAGUCCGUAAAUCCCCUUGCUUCAGAAUUUGGGGAAACU
rnacentral:lncRNA from 1 species